AUGGCGACCGGCGCACGGGUGAGUAACACGUAUCCAACCCUGCCGAUGACUCGGGGAUAGCCUUUCGAAAGAAAGAUUAAUACCCGAUGGCAUAGUUCUUCCGCAUGGUAGAACUAUUAAAGAAUUUCGGUCAUCGAUGGGGAUGCGUUCCAUUAGGUUGUUGGCGGGGUAACGGCCCACCAAGCCUUCGAUGGAUAGGGGUUCUGAGAGGAAGGUCCCCCACAUUGGAACUGAGACACGGUCCAAACUCCUACGGGAGGCAGCAUG
rnacentral:rRNA from 1 species